rnacentral:lncRNA from 1 species
AAGCUCAAAAAGAGACUUUGCCCGAUUAUUCAAACGCUUUGGGAACGAGACACGAGUAUGUUUCCCAAGCUGACAUGACUCACACGGAAGCGACGACAAAGUGGAAAAACGAGGAACCAUCUUCUGGAACUUGGAGAGACUAGGGUGGCCCAGACGAUUGUGAAUGAGGAGAGGAGCAUCAGUGGAAAUGCAAACUGCAGGAGAUGAAUCUGAGGUGAGGUGAUAGAGGCCUUGAGACUCACGUCCUAUGCCAAUCGUCU